UGUGAAAUCCCUGAUGAUAUUGAUAUCUAUCAGAAAGUCAAAUCAGCUCUUGCAAAUCAAGGUUGCCAUGGUCAAAUGUCAAUCUGGGCUUAUUGUGAGGAGGACAAGGAGCCCCUCCCUGGUAUCACCCUUGUAUCCGUAGGUGAGUUUCCUCUAGGUCCUUUGGUAUAUAAAAAUAGAGCAAUCGACUACAUAUGUCUUUUGUUUCAUUUAUAUAUGUACAUUUGUCCCUUGUAUGUGAAUUUAGGCGAUGAAACUGCGAGAUUCAAGAAAAUGCUUAGGGACAUUCUUUUCUGGGCGUUGCAAAAUCCUGUCCCCUAUCCGAGAACAACAGUACCCAGCUUAAUGGUAAUCUCAAACAUCUCAAGGAACAUUGAAUUUGCCCAUGUUCUUCAACGAUUGUCUUCGAGAGGUUACAAUGUGCUCCUUACGGUUCCUGAUGAGAAAGAAUAUAUAUGCUCCGUAUGGCUCUAUCCAAGCCUAAUAGAAAGCCGAACAAAAUUUCCCAUUUGUACAAGAUCGGACAAGAGCUUGCAUGAUAUCAAAACAGGCAUCUUUUGGAACAUUACGGGCUGCACAUUCCCAAAUGAUGAUAUUCAUCUCGAUGAACUAAAUCAGAAUUUCAAAUUAGCUAUUGAAAAUCAGGGCCAUCAUGGUGAAGUGUCAAUCAAAGCUUAUUGGCACGGGAGUAGUGGCUUAUACCAUUGGCUCCACGGAACCAUCACCUUACAAAACAGAGUGUCAGGUGAUCCUGGUAUGAAACAUAAUACAAUGUUUUUGGACAUCCUGCACCAUCAAAUUUGAUGGUAAUCUCCAAUACAAUCUCAGAAGAAACGGAGCUCUCAAGUCUUCUUCAAGAUUUGGAAUCAAAAGGCUACAAUAUUUUUGUUGCACACGCUGAAGAAGCUGCUUCACCAGUGAUACCUCCUGCAUGCUUGGAAUGGCGUUUGGAUACCCUAUUAGCUGGAGGGAACCCUAUCAACCGUACCAACUACUCACGAGAUGUCCUCAAUAUGAUUCAGAAUGAUCUCUCUUUUCGGAGGAAGGGCUGCCAUGGUAAACUAGUCGUUUUAGUUCAUAUAUAUCUCAUAGUUAUUUAUUUUGUGGAUUAUUAAUCUAAUCAAUUGUUUUUGCGUGCUACUUUUUGUGAAAGCUUGUAGAGGCUAAUACAGCCGUCUUCUGGGACAUCGAGGACUGCCCAAUACCUGGUGGUAUGGAUCCUCUUACGUUUCUUCAGAAUAUCAAAUUAGCUCUUGUGAAUCAUGGUUGUCAUGGUAACGUGUCAAUUAUGGCUUAUUGUGACAAGAAUAGGAGCCUUGAUGACUUCUCCCUCAGUGAUACCUCACCCAUCACCUUGGUACCCACAGGCAAUAAAGAUGCGAGGAUUAAGAAAAUGUUUACGGAUAUUUUUUAUUGGGCACUGGAAAAUCCCCAAACAUCAAGUGUGAUGGUGGUGAUCACAAAAAACUUCCCAUGGCACGUUUCAGAUCUUCUUUGUGAUGCUUUUGAGUCAAGAAAUUACAAUCUUCUCUUAGCAGAUCCUUAUGCAGUCGGAUAUGUAGACUCUGUAUGGCUUUCGACAAGCUUAUUUGGUGGAGGCAACCCUAUCGACCUAAAGGAAAGAAAGAAUCAUAGGUCGCCCAUAAUGCUUUCAUCAUUCUGAUCAUGCCUGCCUUUGAGGAAUUGCUUAUGUGGGUAGUGGAAGGUUUACACCAAGGGAGACUGUGCAUAGCUGAUCAUGCAUGGUUCGACCAUAAUGCUUUUAUCAGUCUCACAUUUUUUUUCUUUUGAACUAAUCUGAGUCAGUCUCACUUUGCUUUAUGUCAAAAAAUCUUUUGAGUUUGUGUAUGGACAUUGACGUGACAUCUAAUCAAGUUAUAUAUACUAUAUAUAUAGUGGAUACGGUCAGCUUUUCCUAUCGGUUAUUCUUUUUAUCCACUAUUAGCAAAACAUACUUUCAUUUGCGCCUUACAUUAGAAGUCGAAUCAUUAUUUCGAAGAAUGAUCAAACAUAAUAUGUACUUCAUUUUAAUUGUUGUUAUAGGUUUAUGCACACGAGUUAAAAAAAAAUAUGAUUUUGUAUAUUUCUAAAACAAAAACGCAAUUACUUAUAUACCUAACUAUUUUUCAACCAAUAGAAAAAUAAAAUAGAAAAUCUUAUUAAAAAAAAUUGCAUUGAAACUUUUAAAAAACACUUAUGUACUUCAUUUUAAUUGUUGUUCUAGGUUUAUGCACACAAAUUUUUAAAAAAACAUAUGAUUUUGUAUAUUUCUAAAACAAAAACGCAAUUACCUAUACACCUAACUAUUUUUCAACCAAUAGAAAAAUAAAAUAGAAAAUCUUAUUAAAAUUUUUUGCAUUGAAACUUUAAAAAACACUUAUUUUGAAAUGAAAUUUUUUCUCUGCAACGAGAAUUAAAUUGAAACAGAUGGAGUAAGAAACAAGGCUACUGCAUCGGGCACCAAAUAUAUUAUGAAUUACAAUAAGCUAAGGUCGAAGACAUGUAUAUUUUAAAAGAAAUCUGUGAAGAAAAGGAUAAAUGCUUAUAAGAGUGUGAGAAAUUCCCUAUAAUAGUUUUUUAAAGUAUUUUUCACAAAAAUAGCUUUUAAUGAAAAAAAUGACUAAAAUAAAUUUUAUUAAAAAGUAAAAAUA